rnacentral:rRNA from 1 species
CACGUAGUUAGCCGCGGCUUUCUCAUAAGGUACCGUCAAUUGAUAGUCAUUUCCUCCUAUCACCUUUCUUCCCUUAUAACAGAAUUUUACAACCCGAAGGCCUUCUUCAUUCACGCGGCGUUGCUCGGUCAGGCUUUCGCCCAUUGCCGAAGAUUCCCUACUGCUGCCUCCCGUAGGAGUCUGGGCCGUGUCUCAGUCCCAGUGUGGCCGUUCACCCUCUCAGGUCGGCUACGCAUCGUCGCCUUGGUAGGCCUUUACCCCACCAACUAGCUAAUGCGCCGCAGGCUCAUCCAUCAGUGAUGCCAGGAGCAUCUUUAAACUUUCGUCCUAUCCGGUAUUAGCGAUCGUUUCCAAUCGUUGUCCCCGUCUGAUGGGCAGAUCACCUACGUGUUACUCACCCGUUCGCCGCUUCCCACCGAAGUGGUUCGCUCGACUUGCAUGUAUUAGGCACGCCGCCAGCGUUCAUCCUGAGCCAGGAUCAAACUCU